UACGGAGGGUGCAAGCAUUAAUCGGAUUUAUUGGGCGUAAAGGGCGCGUAGGCGGGGAUGUAAGUCAGAUGUGAAAUCCUGGGGCUCAACCUCAGAACAGCAUUUGAAACUGUAUCCCUAGAGGAUAGGAGGAGAAAACGGAAUUCCACAAGUAGCGGUGAAAUGCGUAGAUAUGUGGAAGAACACCGGUGGCGAAGGCGGUUUUCUAUCUUACUCCUGACGCUGAGGCGCGAAAGCAAGGGGAUCAAACAGG
rnacentral:rRNA from 1 species